rnacentral:rRNA from 1 species
UACGAAGGGGGCGAGCGUUGUCCGGAAUCACUGGGCGUAAAGGGCGCGUAGGCGGCCCCUUCUUGUCGCGUGUGAAAAGCCCCCGGGCUCAACCUGGGAAUGGCGCGCGAGACGGGGGGGCUGGAGUUCGGGAGAGGAGGCGUGGAAUUCCCAGUGUAGAGGUGAAAUUCGUAGAUAUUGGGAAGAACACCGGUGGCGAAGGCGGGUCUCUGGGCGAGUGAACUG